UGGGGAUAAUAAAAGUACUAACCCAAAUAUCUAAAAAAGUAAUACCAAUGAAUGAAACCCAAAAAAAAAACAUAAAGAAAAACCUCCUAUAAACCACCCACAGGAAAACCAACAGACUCUCCAGAAAACCAAUAGCCAAACCAGAUAGAAAAACACAAACCAUGGAGAGUGACAGCUUUGGAUUGCAAUCGGAGUGAAAGAUAAGGAGAUUCCGAGAAAACCGAAGCCAAAAACCAGCAAAUUAGCAAGGGGUAAAUCAUGUUCUUGGAGUGUGCAGCCUCGUUUUGUUCUCUCCAUACAUGGGAAAAGUGCAAGAGAAUCUCCUUCAACCUCAAUAUAUUGGAAACCCAGUUCACCAGCAAACCAGAGCGCCCUCUCGCAUGCCAAAGCUUCUGCCACAAACGCAUCUGCAACAUGUAGAUGAGGGGACAGUUGAACGGGUUAUAUGUAGAGCAUCCAUAACUUGAAUCGUCAAUAGGCAGAAGCUGAGUAUGUGAUCGACAGAAUCCCACUUAUCUGAACACAUUAGACAUGCACUAGAAGUAGAAAGAUGACGCUUUUCCAGAUUUGUAAAAGUAGGAAGAAAGUUUCUGUACGUUUUCCACAAAUGUAUUUUGAUUUUCUGCGGUAAUUGUAGAGACCACAGUUUGGUAAAAAAUGUUGUAGCUGUUAUGCCUGUAGAGUCAUUAGGAAUAUUUUGUUUUGGCAGUUUUGAUUGAGUCAAGAGUCUGUAUCCACUCUUUACUGUAUAUACUACUGAGCCAUGCACACGCCAAAUUCGAAUAUCUGGAAUUUGCAAGCGAGAUAGAAGGGUGGACAGAAUUGCGUCAACCUGAGUGGCAUCAGCAAUUUCUCGGACUGCAUCUUCACACCAGGAAUCCACUGAGCAUUCCAGAGAUUCACACUUGCCCCGUCCCCAAUUCGCCAGCCACUACACAUUUCCAGUUAUCCCCGCGCAGCCAUAAUACUUCGCUAGGUAAGGGAUGGGUAAGAACCUAGCCCAGCUAAAAUAAAAUCUAAACCAAACCCAGCUAAAAUAAAAUCUAAGUGUUGGUGAUAUCGCGCCUUUAAUACUUUUGCUAACAAACAAUCAGGCUGGGUCUAAAUUCGCCAGCAUUGUUUUGCUAAUAAAGACACGUUAAAGCUUACCAAAUCGUGAAAUCCUAAUCCACCUUUUGACUUCGAUGCACAUAAUACCUUCCAUAAGCUCCAAUGAAUCCGCUUUGCCGUUUUUGCGUUUCUCCACCAAAAUCUAUUAAGUACGUUUUUGAGCUUUGCACAUAACGAUUUAGGGAAGGGAAAACAUUGCAUUGCAUAGACUGGUAGAGCUUGCAAAACUGACUUUAUUAAAGUCUCCCUUCCACUCAUAGAUAGAUAUCUGAAAUUCCAACUUUUCAUUCUACUUUUAAAUCUAUCAACAUGGUAAGAGAAUGCCCUAUUCUUGCUACGCCCUAUCAUAACUGGCAACCCAAUGUACUCUGCAUUGGAAGAUACAUGGACUCCCAAAGCAUUCGAGACAACAUUUCUAUCAUCUUCUUGCACAUUCGAGCCAAAGAAAAUUAAAGACUUGUCAUAGUUGAUCUUCUGACUUGAAGCCUUUUCAUAUGUCGAAAGAAUAUGUUGGAUGUUCUCUGCCCUAUCUUUUGAAGCAUCCUCAAACAAUAAGCUAUUGUUUGCAAAAUAUAAAUGGUUAACGGACAAAGAGCUUUUCCCGAUUCUAACACCAUUCACCGCCUUUUCCUCCUUAGCUUUCUCAAGUAGCACAAGGAAGCCUUUGGAACAAACAAGGAAUGGGUAUGGGCUAAGAUGAUCGCCCUGUAAGGCACAAUUUUGUAGCUUAGAUUCUCAUUGAUACCCACAGUAUAGCUAAUGGAAGCCACGCAGUUCAUUAUUAAAGUGAUCCAGUCUAUAUGGAAACCUAAUUUAAGCAUCGGUUAGGAAGUCCCAUUCUGCUCUAUCGUAAGUUUUGCUCAUGUCUAAUUUGAGAGCAAAGCUACCUUUUGCGCCCCAUCGCUUUGACUUAAGGGAAUGUAAAAUCUCAUAGGCAAUCAGAGAGCCAUCUAUUUAGAAUAAAGGCUCCUUGUGCCUCUUUUAUGCAUACAUUUAGUAACCCACUCAUUCUAUUCACUAUAGACUUGGCAAUUAUUUUGAACAACACAUUGCGUACACUAAUAGGUCUAAAUUGAGUAAUGUCUUUCGGGUUACUAACCUCGGGAAUCAGGACGAUAUAUGUGCAGUUAAUCUCCUUCACAACAAUGUCUCCACGAAUAAUGCUUAGACAAAAUGAGGAAACCUCAGGACCCACAAUGCUCCAAUGGGGUUGAUAGAAAAGUGUAGGGAAACCAUCUAGGCCAGAAGCUUUCAGAGGCACCAUAUCUUUCAUUGCCACCUAUAUUUCUUCCAUAGUAAAUACCUGCAAUAACUUUUCGUUCAUGUCAUUUGUUAUACUCAUUCGAACAUUCUUAUUUGUGAUAGUGUAGGGAAACCAUCAAGGCCAAAAGCUUUCAGAGGCACCAUAUCUUUCACUGCCACUCGUAUUUCCUCCAUAGAAAAUACCUGCAAUAACUUUUCGUUCAUGUCAUUUGUGAUACUCAUUCGAACAUUCUCAAAUAUUACAUUCGAAUUGUCCUCAUCUGAAGUAGUAAAAAGGUUCUUGAAAUAUCCAGAAAUAGUCGCCUCAAUACCUUUCUCGUCCUCAACACAUUCACCAAUAUCAUUCAUUAGGCCUUUAAUAAGAUUAAAUUUCCUUUUUGCUGUAGUGGAACCAUGGAAGAACUUUGAAUUAUGGUCCCUGUACUUCAACCAAUUGAUACGCGCAUGUUGCUUCCAAUACCUUUCUUCUUUAUCCGCCUCUAAAUUUAAUUAUAAACGGAUGUCUGUCAGCUCAAGAAGAGUGUCAUCCUUGGGUUCUUCUGAAACUAACAAAUCUAAUGUGUCUUCUACACUUUUUUCUUGGCCUUUCAGUCAAUCUUUAGUUGGGAACUUCACUCCAUGAGUUGGCAACCCAACUUGUUUAAUUUGAUAGGAAGGGGGUCGGCAUUCAAAUCCCAAAAUUCUUUGACCACAUUCUCACAGUCUCCCUCCAAGCACCAAUCGGCAUCAAAUUUAAAUCUUCUUUGGCCUUUUCUUCUAUUACCAACUUUCGAACCCACGAAUUUUACAUAAAUCAGACAAUGAUUGGAUAUUGAGUGCGAAAGGUGAUUAAUUGUGAAAUUUGAAAAAAGAUUCCACUAACUAGAAUUCACAACUGCCCGAUCAAGACAUUCCCUAAUAUUUUUAGCCUCAAAUUUUUCUCGUUCCCAUGUGUACCAUCUCCCAUCUUGACCCAAAUCAUGAAGGUCACAAUCCAGAAGUGCAGAUUGAAAGUCUUGCAUCUGUCUCUCCCCUCGAACACGUUCACCUGAUUUUUCAAAGGAGUAGGUAAUUUCGUUGAAAUCCCCUACCACCAACCAUGGGAGAGAUUGAUCAGUACCCGGUCUCUGAAGAAAAUUCCAAGGAUAGCUGAUGUCGCCCCUCAGGAUGACCAUAAAAUCCCGUUAGGCGCCAUUUAAUAUCACUACUUUCUUCGUACACCUCAACAUCUACAUGGUGAUUAGAAAAACUACGCAAGGUUACCUUCAUAUUUGUUGUCCAUCCUAAAGACAACUCCCCUUUAGACCCGUUUGCUCCUAUAUCAAUCCCAUGGCUAUAGCCCCAAUAUCUUUGAAUAUUCUCCAUCCUGUGAACAUUGAAUUUUAUUUCCAUGAGAAAUGAAAUUGGGGGACGAACAACUCUCAAUUUAUUUCUAAGCCAAUUAACAGUCUGUGGGUUCCCUAUCCCAUGAACAUUCCAGCUUAAGGUAUUCAUAAUGUCUGACUUCUCUGCCCUAUAGAGUCGGUCGAUAAAACAUCAUCACUGUCGCGUAUAUCUGCAACUCGAAUUACCCUUUGGCGCUUUUUCCCUUCGUCGUGGUGGAUUGAGCUCCCUUUUCCUAAUAGAUUACAAACCAUAGGUCCAUAAGUUGUUAAGGAAUUACCAUCAUGCACAUAUGUUGUGCGAGCACCUCUAUUAAGAUUAGCAACAAUGUGGUCAUCAAUGCCUUUAUUUUUCUGAUUGCUUUGACCCCCUAUACUAGGGAUUUGAUUCCCAAAAUUACGCCGUAUUGAAUCACUUUACGCCGUAUUGAAACACUUUUCUCAUUCAUUCCCCCAAUGUCCAUUCCAUCUGAUUGGCGUAGCCAUCAGCUUACUCUCUUCGAUCUUUUUUUUGCCGCUAUAAGCAAGGAAACACCCCAGCCAAAGACAAUUUUUGAUGGAUCCACCCUCGUUUGUAUCAGACAGAAACUCUCUCCGUGGCCCAACAUCCCGCAGAUAAAACAGAAAAGCUGAAGUUUCUCAUAUUGGAACUGGGCGUAAUAGGACCAGUCCUCUACUUGAACCUUCUUCCUUCGUUUUAGAGCCACCCGAACAUCCAAUCUAACUUGUAUUCUCAUGUAUUGAGAUAUGCCCAAUGAUGGAAGUUGCAUAUCAUACUCCAUGAAAUUCCUCAUAAAGUCACCAAAACGUCUCGCCAUAUUUUUCGACAUAAGGCUUGGUGGCAAGUCGUGGACUUGGACUCAAAAAAUCGCAGAAUGUAAAGAAACAGUAAGAGGGUCUUCAUUUUUAUGCCAAAGUAAGAUAUGGUUAUUAAAGAACCAUGAUACCACCAAUGGGGUGCCAUAGAUCCGCCAACGUGUUACGUAAUGACGGAAAUGGGCUACACUAUCAGUCAGGCAAGUACCAACCAAAGAGAAUUCCAAAUCUCGAUCAAUUAUCUGUGCAUCUUUAUUAAAGGCGUUUUCUUCCUCAUCAUCUGAGAGGCGAAUGUUUGCCAGAUCGUCUUCCAUGAUGGUCCCACUCAAGAAAGCAGCAAUCACAAAAUCAGUAAGAUCAUCGAGAGAAACAAGAAGAAGUCAGACGUAAGACAAAAGAACGUAUCAACUCGGACAGAGAGAGAGCGUGCUAAUUAGCAGAAUUAAAAGGAUUUUUGGAUAUGUUUUAUAUAUUUUAUUAUUUUUAAACAUUAAUAUGAAUUUUUAGGGGAAUCAAUCUUGUAUUUGAAACUUUUUUUUUGAAAUAGAUUCUUAAUCCGGCUUGACUCAUAA